ACAUGCUAAAUUUCCUCUUAGGUUCCGGUACACUCAGUUUUUCAAUUUCGGGAGGAAUGAAUCUAGAAUGGAGGACGUGGCCUCGGAGAAUCAAGGAGGAUUUGAUAAUCCGAUUUUUGAGCCAGAAUCGGAAAAUAACCAGGCUGCUCCUAUCGGAGAAGAAAUCUUGAAGGAAGUCGCCCUGCAGGAAAGUGGAUUUUCCUUCUCUAACCCUGUAUUUAAUUCCGAUUUUCAAGCAUAAGACAAAGAAAAGUACUGCAUGCAGGAAUUUUUUCCCUGUCUUAAACAAACUGAUCUCAUGGCUCAAAUGGACGACAACUGGACAAACGGUGAUGUGAACGGAGCCUAACGAAGGUCUCCGGAUCCCACACUGGCUGAGGUCGGAUCUA